ensembl:lncRNA
AUGACGUGCUACGUCAUCCACCGGAGCGGCUUCCAGUUUUGACAGUCGACAGAAAGUCCAUUGAAGUACAUUAUAUGGAAAAAACUCCUGGAACAUUUUCAUCAAAAACCUUAAUUUCUUUUUAACUGAAGAAAGAAAAACAAACAUCUUGGAUGACAUGGGGAAUCUGUUGCAGUCUACAGGACACGCAUCCAAAAAUCUGUUCUACACUUCUGACACUGAAGCACUGCGCUAAUAUGAUUGGAAGUGUUGCAAACUCACAGAAGGGAUGAUUUUACUUAGUUCUGAAGCAACUUAUAUCUGCUUUUUAAUUUAGUUUUCUAUUCAUGUGAUUUAAUUAUUAGAUGCACCCCCUUUUUUAAUGUUCAGUCUAUGUUCAGCUGUAUGUACAACAGUUCUCUUGGACUUUAUACUACAACACCCUGAAAAAGUACUGUUCGUUUUUACAGUACUUAUUUUUAGAGUGCACCUUUAAAAGAAUAGUUUACCAAAAAAAAUUAAUUUACUGAAAAUGUAUUCAUCCUCAGGCCAUCCUAGAUGCAAUUGAGUUUAUUUCUUCAUUGGAACAGAUUUGUAGAAAUCAUUACAUCACUUGCUCGCCAAUGGAUCUUCUGCAGUGAAUGGGUGCCGUCAGAAUGAGAGUCAAACAGCUGAUAAAAACACCACAAUAAACCACAAGUAACACGCAGGAUUCCAAUCCAUCAAUUAAGAUCUUGUGAAGGAUAAACGUGCAUGUUUGUAAUAAAGAUAUCCAUCAUUAAGAGGCUUUCGAUUUCUUCAGUAUAAGAGAAAGUAUUCAGGAGAGAAAUAUGCACAGAUCAAACACAACUUGCAAGCCAAAACAGUUCAAAAUGGUUCUAAACAAAUACUGUGAUGCACACUCAUUCUGACGGCACCCACUGCAGAGGAUUCAUUGGUGAGCAUGUGAUGCAAUGCUAAAUUUCUCCAAAUCUGUUCCAAAGCUCCUUAUUUUUUUUAUUUUUUUUGGUGAACUAUUCCUCCCUGAAUUCCAAGUAAAUUUUUUAAUUCAAUCAUAUCUUGAAUAAACUAAACUAAAGUGCUACAUCCCAAGACAGUUUUGUUUUACACAAUAAUUGUGUUCUAAUAAAUAUAAAUAUUGAGUAACUAGUACUUCGACUGAAUUAGAAUUGUUGUUUUGUGAAUUUAAAUGUCAGUGUAAUGUUAUUGUAAAUACUGUGUUUUUUUUUAUUCUUCUUGUGUUGUGUAGACAUAAAAAAAAUGCCUCAUCUGUCCACUUUGCUCACAUUUUCAUUAAUAACAUGCAUGUCGAUCAGCCUCGAGUUUUCUGCUUUGUCCCCUUUGCUCUCUAGCAUGCAAAGAACAUCCUCCUAUUUUAGACUCCCAACACGCUGCUCUCAGCCUCAGAAGAGGAAGUGUGAUCCAGACCCGCUCAAUGGAGCCAAUGGAACUUGGCAGACAUCAGUAAUUGGAAACUUAAUCACGUAAGGCAAAGUCUGAUGGCGGGAAAUGAGGCCCUGCAGGAAGAGGAUGGGAAGACGGGGCCACAAUCAACAGAUGCCUUGAGUGGUGCUCUGCACAUGUUUUAUGCCACAUUCCCUGUUUCAUUUCUAUUAAUAUUCAGAGAAAUGUCGCGAAGUGAAGUGAAGCUCAAAGUAAAACAGCAGG